rnacentral:rRNA from 1 species
GAGUCUAGCAUGUGCGCGAGUCAUUGGGACUCUAAUGAAACCUAAAGGCGCAAUGAAAGUGAAGGCCCGCCUAGCGCGGGCCGAGGGAGGAUGGGUGGUCUCUCGGGACCGCCUCGCACUCCCGGGGCGUCUCGUUCUCAUCGUGAGAAGAGGCGCACCCAGAGCGUACACGCUGGGACCCGAAAGAUGGUGAACUAUGCCUGGUCAGGACGAAGUCAGGGGAAACCCUGAUGGAGGUCCGUAGCGAUUCUGACGUGCAAAUCGAUCGUCGGAACUGGGUAUAGGGGCGAAAGACUAAUCGAACCAUCUAGUAGCUGGUUCCCUCCGAAGUUUCCCUCAGGAUAGCUGGCGCUCGCUUCUCGCGAGUCUCAUUCGGUAAAGCGAAUGAUUAGAGGCAUUGGGGUCGAAACGGCCUCAACCUAUUCUCAAACUUUAAAUGGGUGAGAUCUCCGGCUUGCUUGAACUGUGAAGCCGCGAGAUAUCGGAUCAGAGUGCCAAGUGGGCCACUUUUGGUAAGCAGAACUGGCGCUGUGGGAUGAACCAAACGCAGAGUUAAAGCGCCUAAAUCGACGCUUAUGGGAUACCAUGAAAGGCGUUGGUAACUUAAGACAGCAGGACGGUGGCCAUGGAAGUCGGA